rnacentral:rRNA from 1 species
UCGAGAAUCUUCGGCAAUGGGCGCAAGCCUGACCGAGCGACGCCGCGUGGAGGACGAAGGCCUUCGGGUUGUAAACUCCUGUCGAGGGGGGAAGAAGCCGCAAGGUUGACUGAACCCUGGAGGAAGCACGGGCUAAGUUCGUGCCAGCAGCCGCGGUAAGACGAACCGUGCGAACGUUAUUCGGAAUCACUGGGCUUAAAGCGCGUGUAGGCGGGAGGGCACGUCCGUCGCUGAAAUCCCACGGCUCAACCGUGGAACGGGCGCGGAUACGACUCUUCUGGAGGAACGUAGGGGGGACCUGGAACUUCCGGUGGAGCGGUGAAAUGCGUUGAGAUCGGAAGGAACGCCCGUGGCGAAAGCGAGGUCCUGGACGUUUACUGACGCUGAGACGCGAAAGCCAGGGGAGCGAAACGGGAUUAGAUACCCCGGUAGUCCUGGCCGUAAACGAUGGGCACUGGGUAGGGGGCUCGCCGAUGGGCUCCCUGCCGUAGGGAAACCGUGAAGUGCCCCGCCUGGGGGAGUAUGGUCGCAAGGGCUGAAACUUAAAUGAAUUGAC